UGUAAUGGAUGUGCUGAAUCUGUGGAGUGACGACCCAGAGGAGGUCCUACUAGAUCUGGGCUUCGGCUGUGACGAGCCUGACAUCUCUGGACGGAUCCCUGCCCGCUUCAUCAACAACCAGUCCAGCGCCCGGGGAAUCAACAUCCAGGUGUUCCUGGACGCCCAGAAGAACCGCAUGGACAUAGAGAACCCUGAUGUCAGCAAUAGGUUCAGGCAGUUGGAGGUGCUGCAGCAGGUUACCACUGCAUUCUCAUCCCUGGUCGGUGGUGCGUCUACAGACUCCGUCUCCGAGAGCGGAGUUCCAGCUUUAGCUUCAGCCGGGGCCAGGGAGAAGAGGAAGAGAAUGGGCAUGCUGCUCCGCCGGGUCUCCAGAAAAACCCUCAGCCAAACCCAGUUUCAGACACAAAACCAGACCCAGGACUCCCAGGACACAAACCCCACUCCCCACAGUCCUGUAACCCACUUACCGCAGCCCCUGGCUGGCCUCCCUGACAGGCGGACCCCGCUGAAACGAGCCAGACAGGGCCUGGCUGAGAGUAUAUGUCUGACCCCGCUGGCAGAGGAGCAAGGCCUAGCCUCGGAAGCACCAGAGCCCCACUCGGUCCACCAGGAGGGUGCACUCUGGCUGGAGGUGGGGAAGGAGUAUCAACCCCUGAUCUCCAGUGGUAUUCCAACCAGAAAGAAAAGUCCUGGGGAGGCCAGGGAGUCCUUUGAGAUGGAGGAGGUAAAUGUCAAAGUGUCACUUCAAGUUAAAAGAAUCUGGUGGUUUAACGUUUGUGGAAAGGGGUAUAGUAUACUGAAAUGUCUUGAAUUACCUCUUGCAUUGUGUUGCUUCAUUUUCCAGAUUAAACUGUGUAACUGUAGUUGUACUACAUAUGUAUAUUGAGCUAUAUAUUUGUGUUUUCUUCCAUGUCAGAUCCAGAGCUUUGAUGAGGGCAGUAUUUCUGGGAGCUACAUGGGAGCAUCCGACACCACAGCAGUGUGUGUGAUGAGGACUAACAGCUGCCAGUCUGACAGCAGUGGCUUCCUGGAAGAGCCCUUCAUCCCUUCCAUUACCCAGCAUCCCUCACCUGGACCCGAGCUCAUGAAGGCUUUGUCGGGAAUAUUUGGAGGCAGCACUGACAGCCAGAUCACUGCUUCACCCCCCUCGUCCCCCCCAUCCACUUCCCUGGACCCUUCCCCUCCUUCCCUCUCCAUGUGCCACCCAAGACCCGAGUCUCCUCUAUACAGACCAGAGACAACAAGCCCUACAGAGGAGACACCCAGACACCAGGAUUCCCCCACACCCCACUCCCUCUCUGAUGCCUUGGAGAUGACUAACUCUGCUUUUGGAGCCAGGCCAAGCCUAAUGGAAAACACUGUCACUGAGGAAGAUGGAUUCUCUUCGGCCUGCGGUUCACCUUGUCAUAAGCCAGACUCUCCGUUACGGCACGUUAUUAUUAUCAUGAAAACAGAUAGAGAAACAGAACACUUUACUGUGGAAUCAGAGGAAGCUGUUCCAAUAGGAGGAGAGGAAAAGGACAUAGCGGAACAAAGUGGCAAUGUUCAGACAGGAACAGAGGCUGUUGGUGAUCAGGACACCGAUUGUUAUGGGUCACAUGAAGGCUCUCGGAUGAACUCGGUAGCUCUGGUGCAGAUGAAGAAAGAGACAGAGAUGAAGACGAAAGUACAGAUUAGUUCUGGUUUGGAAGGUCCAGUGUUGGGUCCUGUUGCUGUUCCUGAGGUGGUGAAUCAAGGCUCUGAGACUGGAUCUGUUUGUCAGGACCGGUACUCUGAAGAUCCUCUAUUAGGAUCUGACCCUAACUUCUCAGCAGAGCCUCUCCCUGCCUCCUCUCUCCCCCCAGCAGAGCCUCUCCCUGCCUCCUCUCUCCCCCCAGCAGAGCCUCUCUCUGCCUCCCUCCCCCCAGUGCACUGGGAAACAGGUGGCUCAAAGAUUUCAGAGGGAUCCUCAAGCUUGGUUGUCCAAGAGCCUGUCCCACCACUAUAUCAACCAGCAGACCCAUCGACAGACCCACCUCCAGGCCCAGCUUUAACCUCACCUUCAGAGCAAGUGUCACCUCCAUCCCCACCACCAUCUCCAUCCCCAGCCUCGUGGCCACACCAACCUCCAGCCUCAGCUUUUCCGGCAGCAUCCAGCUCAUCUCCAACCCAAGCCCAUUCCCCAAUCCCAAACCAUUCUCUAUCAGCCCUAACCACAACACCAACCCCAUCCUCAAUUCCAAACUCGCCAUCAGCCCAUUCCUUAACCGUAGCUCCAUCUCAAGCCCCAACUCCACUCGUCCCCCACAGUGGUGCUUUCAGGUCAGGCCGGUCUGUGUCUGUCCAGAUGCCCUCCUCCCUGCCCUCUGUCUCCCACUCUGCCCUCCGGAGAGGUGGCGUCCCCCACACCCCCUCCCCGCUCGGCCCUUCCUUCGAGCCCCGCCCCCUGACUGACCUGACGCUCCGGCAGAGGCGGAACUCCUUCUCCAGGAAGGCGUGGUCAGAUGCUGAUGUCUCCCACUUUGCAGAACACAGAAACACUGCGGUUGCCAUGGGAAAGGCAGUCAUGACACCUGAGAUGAUAUCCCUCCUGUCCCCCGUCCCCUCCCUGUCAUCGUCCAAUCGGUGGCUGUCUCGCGACGGUUCACGAAGAUCCGGAAGUUUCCAGAUGAAGUCCACCUCCUUGGACACGGGGCUGUGGCAGGAGGAAGAGGGGGAUGAAGUGGGGGAUGAGGAUAGACGGUGGGAACGAGCCCUGUUCUCUGGGCUUUCCUGCUGCUGCUCCUGUGAUAACCGCUGUAGCUGCUGUUCUCAGAACAAUCACCUCAAACCAUCCUCCGUUUCAGCUUUCCCUGUAAGUAACACACACAAUUCAGUUACUCUCUCUUUGGCAAACCUUCAAUUGAUUCACACAGGAUAA
rnacentral:lncRNA from 8 species